rnacentral:rRNA from 1 species
UACAGAGGUCUCAAGCGUUGUUCGGAUUCAUUGGGCGUAAAGGGUGCGUAGGUGGCGGGGUAAGUCAGGUGUGAAAUUUCGGAGCUUAACUCCGAAACUGCAUUUGAUACUGCCUUGCUUGAGGACUGGAGAGGAGACUGGAAUUCACGGUGUAGCAGUGAAAUGCGUAGAUAUCGUGAGGAAGACCAGUGGCGAAGGCGGGUCUCUGGACAGUUCCUGACGCUGAGGCACGAAGGCCAGGGGAGCAAACGGG